UGUGUAACUACUACCCCUGAAGCGUAGGUGUAUUAAACCACUCAAGCUAAUGCAAUCCCAAAAGGAAGAAGCUUUAGAGUUAUUUAUACUAUUGCUACCAAACUUUUCAGAACCCUUAAGGAUUUCAAUAAAGAAACCCAUAUUAAGAAAGAGUUAUUGGUAAAGUCCUUAAUGGUGUUAGCAAAGUCUAUAAUUUGGUCCUAAAGGAGUUCUCAAUCAGUAAAAUUAUUACUAAAAUAUAUUGCACGGAAGAACCAAGAGAAGGGAAUGCUAUUUGUUUAAAUAGACAUGGAUUGCUUGGGAGGAGAUGGAAAUGUAAAUGAUGUUAAGGUUGUCGUCACUGUACAUAAUUUCCAGUCACCCAGUAUUGCCAUUAGCAAAAUAUUGGAUUUUAUUAGUGAAGCCAAUUCCUCCGAAAUAAGUUUAUAAUAACUCAUUCUAGUUUCAAUAAAGGCAAGGAUAUCAGGCUGUGGAUGUCUAUAAUGAACUUACAAUAUCGUUUGAAUUCAACACCGUUCGCCUCUCUACCAUUUUAUAUGACAAAAUUUAUUGUUAACUAGAUUAUUUUAGAGGGUAUAUCCCUCAUUAUUCCCUUGCCUUUCCCUAGAGGAGGUGUUAAUACAGUGGGGGGCAUUCCCUUCCUUCAUUUCGAUAAAAAAUUCAUCCUUGGACUGAAGAAUUUGAACCUUGUGAGAGUUGGAAAGGUGAUAUCUAGACUGGAUCGGAGAUUUCUUGAGGUCUGAUGGCUCCAGUGGGACAAGUAGAGACGGUUAAUUAUCAGUCAUGGCGCGUGGGUCUUACUCGCUAUUAAUUACAGUGGAAGUGGGUGGUAAGAUGAAGAAAGGGUGACCAGUCUCUCAAUUAUGGAUCUUCAUAUUUCUUUACACGCUUUUUUGUUUUGUAAUUUUCAUAUUCCUAUUCAAACAUCUUAUAUUUUUAAAAUGCUGAAUUUUUUUAUUAAUUAUACAUUUUAGAGGGAAUUAUAUUUUUGGUCCCUCAAUUAUUGAUAAA